rnacentral:rRNA from 1 species
UACGUAGGUGGCAAGCGUUAUCCGGAAUUAUUGGGCGUAAAGCGCGCGUAGGCGGUUUUUUAAGUCUGAUGUGAAAGCCCACGGCUCAACCGUGGAGGGUCAUUGGAAACUGGAAAACUUGAGUGCAGAAGAGGAAAGUGGAAUUCCAUGUGUAGCGGUGAAAUGCGCAGAGAUAUGGAGGAACACCAGUGGCGAAGGCGACUUUCAGGUCUGUAACUGACGCUGAUGUGCGAAAGCGUGGGGAUCAAACAGGAUUAGAU